rnacentral:rRNA from 1 species
UACGGAGGGAGCUAGCGUUGUCCGGAAUCACUGGGCGUAAAGGGCGCGUAGGUGGCGACCCAAGUCGAUGGUGAAAGCUCGCCGCUCAACGGCGAGUCGGCCACCGAUACUGGGUUGCUGGAGCACUGUAGAGGCAGAUGGAAUUCCGGGUGUAGCGGUGGAAUGCGUAGAGAUCCGGAAGAACACCGAUGGCGAAGGCAGGUCUCUGGGCCACUACUGACGCUGAGAAGCGAAAGCAUGGGGAGCGAACAGG